GGGGGAUAUUGCACAAUGGGGGAAACCCUGAUGCAGCGACGCCGCGUGGAGGAAGAAGGUUUUCGGAUUGUAAACUCCUGUCGUUAGGGACGAUAAUGACGGUACCUAACAAGAAAGCACCGGCUAACUACGUGCUAGCAGCCGCGGUAAAACGUAGGGUGCAAGCGUUGUCCGGAAUUACUGGGUGUAAAGGGAGCGCAGGCGGGAAGACAAGUUGGAAGUGAAAACCAUGGGCUCAACCCAUGAAUUGCUUUCAAAACUGUUUUUCUUGAGUAGUGCAGAGGUAGAUGGAAUUCCCGGUGUAGCGGUGGAAUGCGUAGAUAUCGGGAGGAACACCAGUGGCGAAGGCGGUCUACUGGGCACCAACUGACGCUGAGGCUCGAAAGCAUGGGUAGCAAACAGGAUUAGAUACCCUGGUAGUCCAUGCCGUAAACGAUGAUUACUAGGUGUUGGGGGAUUGACCCCCUCAGUGCCGCAGUUAACACAAUAAGUAAUCCACCUGGGGAGUACGACCGCAAGGUUGAAACUCAAAGGAAUUGACGGGGGCCCGCACAAGCAGUGGAGUAUGUGGUUUAAUUCGAAGCAACGCGAAGAACCUUACCAGGUCUUGACAUCCGAUGCAUAGCACAGAGAUGUGUGAAAUCCUUCGGGACAUCGAGACAGGUGGUGCAUGGUUGUCGUCAGCUCGUGUCGUGAGAUGUUGGGUUAAGUCCCGCAACGAGCGCAACCCUUAUUGCCAGUUACUACGUUAAGAGGACUCUGGCGAGACUGCCGUUGACAAAACGGAGGAAGGUGGGGAUGACGUCAAAUCAUCAUGCCCUUUAUGACCUGGGCUACACACGUACUACAAUGGCGUUAAACAAAGAGAAGCAAGACCGCGAGGUGGAGCAAAACUCAAAAACCAGUCCCAGUUCGGACUGCAGGCUGAAACUCGCCUGCACGAAGUUGGAGUUGCUAGUAAUCGUGGAUCAGAAUGCCACGGUGAAUGCGUUCCCG
rnacentral:rRNA from 1 species